UUUUUUUUUUUUUUUUUUUUUUUUUUUUUUUUCACGAGGCGCAAUU
rnacentral:ribozyme from 1 species